AUGACCCUUUUUCUACUAGUGAUGGAAAACAUACUCUUGUUGGAUUCACCAGUCGGUUCCGGUUUUUCGUUCGCUCAUGAUCCCAAAGGCUACGAUGUUGGAUACUAUUCAUCAUCUUCGCAGUGGUUCACGGAUCAUCCGCAAUAUGUUUCAAAUCCUUUCGACAUUGGUGGAGAUUCAUAUGCUGGAAAGGUGAUUCCAGUUAUUGCACAGGGCAUUUCAGAAGGAAUUGACCUGAGGAAGUGA
rnacentral:rRNA from 1 species